rnacentral:misc_RNA from 1 species
AGGAAGGGGAAUGUGAGGAGUGAGGAGAGGGUCAGGACCGCGAGACCGGUCAGGAGGCCGUAGAUGGGGAGCGAGGGAGCAGGAUGGCGGAGCGCACCUCGUCGUAGGUACUGCACAGCGGAGGAGAUCCCAUCAUCAGCGGCCCUUCCGCCACAACUCCACGUGCUCGACUGAAACGGCCGGAACUCACUCAAACACCGGCCCCUUCCGAACCAACUUAUCUGCCUCCCUCUUCGCCAUCCACAAGAUCGGCAACCACAGACACAACCCCGGUAUCGAGAUGGUGAAGAGA